rnacentral:rRNA from 1 species
AGGUGUAACGUCACGCA